rnacentral:rRNA from 1 species
UACAGGGGGAGCAAGCGUUGUUCGGAUUUACUGGGCGUAAAGGGCGCGUAGGCGGCGCGACAAGUCACUUGUGAAAUCUCCGGGCUUAACUCGGAGCGGCCAAGUGAUACUGUCGUGCUAGAGUGCGGAAGGGGCAACUGGAAUUCACGGUGUAGCAGUGAAAUGCGUAGAUAUCGUGAGGAACACCAGAGGCGAAGGCGGCUACCUGGACAAUUGCUGACACUCAGGCACGAAAGCGUGGGGAGCAAAAGGG